UUUGCCGUAUCGGCCAUCCCCAGUGCCCCCCGAAUUGCUAGAUGUGACACCAAAAUUGCUCGCAGUUUUGCGAUGCAUUUGUGAUGGUUCUUGUGCAUUGGAGGUCGUUGCAUCCCGGCCUUUGAAUGACUCGUUCUUCGAACGUACAUGCCUCGCGGGUGUUCUGUAUUACCAUCCAAUGCUUGAUCCUUUUGGCAGCUGCUCAUCGUUGCUUGGCUAAAUGCCGUCGAUGUUGCGCCGUCAUUGGGGCACGCUUGUUUGGGUUGUUCAGAGACCGUUUGCGGCAUAUGAGUUGCUUUCAACUAUGCUCACCUUGAUCGGCGUACCCAGGAGCGUUGCUGAUCAUUGUUAGACCAUACGUGUUUCAUUUUGUCGGCCACUGAAAUCACAUUGAAUGUGGUUGAUGUAUUCCUCGUUGCUUGCAUUUGAUUCUGUCCACUAUACUGGGGCAUUGAAUUGUGAAAAAAGGUUGAUCCGUGCCUCUGCCUUCAAUGCGAAGAGAGGCGACGAUUUUGGACAGCGGUUCUUCUAUCCGCUCCUGCGUAAGGUGUAUGUGCCCAAACAAACAUCCUGCCCGUUGGUUGCUGAUCCAUAACUCCGCAUGUUGUUGUUAUAUGGAGGGGGCGAACUAAGAAAAUAUCUUGGUGUCAUGUACACCUUGCUGAUGUGGGUUAUUUCUCGAGGCAAACUAGCCUCCUUUCCUCGUGCAACCAUGAAUACUCCCUUGCUGCCGCCCACUGGAUGGGUGAGUGGUUUGGGUUUGUUUU
rnacentral:misc_RNA from 1 species